AUUGAACGCUGGCGGCAGGCCUAACACAUGCAAGUCGAGCGGAUGACGGGAGCUUGCUCCUGGAUUCAGCGGCGGACGGGUGAGUAAUGCCUAGGAAUCUGCCUGGUAGUGGGGGAUAACGUCUGGUAACGGGCGCUAAUACCUCAUACGUGCUGCGGGUGAAAGUGGGGGAUCUUCGGACCUCUCGCUAUCAGAUGAGACUAGGUCGGAUUAGCUAGUUGGUGGGGUAAAGGCCUACCAAGGCGACGAUCCGUAACUGGUCUGAGAGGAUGAUCACUCACACUAGAACUGAGACACGGUCCAGACUCCUACGGGAGGCAGCAGUGGAGAAUAUUGGACAAUGGGGGAAAGCCUGAUCCAGCCAUGCCGCGUAUGUGAAGAAGGUCUUCGGAUUGGAAAGCACUUUAAGUUGGGAGGAAGGGCAGUAAGUUAAGAAGUGGCUGUUUUGACGUUACCAGCAGAAUAAGCACCGGCUAACUUCGUG
rnacentral:rRNA from 1 species